CGGUUCAGUCUCAGAGAGUUUGAUCCUGGCGUCAGGACUGAACGCUAGACGGCAGGCUUAAUACAUGCAAGGCGAGGGGGCGAGCAAUCGUCACCGUCGUACGGGUGCGUAACGCGUAUGCAACCUACCUUCGAACUGGGGGAUAGCCGGGGAAACCCGGAUUAAUACGCAUAAUACAUUGGUGUAGCAUUACAUUAUUUGUUAAAGAUUUAUUGGUUGAAGAUGGGCAUGCGUUCGAUUAGCUAGUUGGUGCAGGUAACGGCUCACCAAGGCGACGAUCGAUAGGGGAGCUGAGAGGUUGAUCCCCCACACGGGCACUGAGAUACGGGCCCGACUCCUACGGGAGGCAGCAGUAGGGAAUAUUGGGCAAUGGAUGCAAGUCUGACCCAGCCAUGCCGCGUGCCGGAUGAAGGCCCUCAGGGUUGUAAACGGCUUUUAUUCGGGAAGAAGAGCAGGGAUGCGUCCCUGUGUGACGGUACCGAAUGAAUAAGCACCGGCUAACUCCGUG
rnacentral:rRNA from 1 species